CUACGGGCUGCACCAGUGAGGAAUCUUGCGCAAUGGGCGAAAGCCUGACGCAGCAACGCCGCGUGAGUGAUGAAGGCCUUCGGGUCGUAAAGCUCUGUCAAGUGGGAAGAACCUGUGAACGAAUAAUACUCGUUUGCACUGACGGUACCACUGAAGGAAGCACCGGCUAACUCCGUGCCAGCAGCCGCGGUAAUACGGAAGGUGCAAGCGUUAUUCGGAAUUAUUGGGCGUAAAGGGCGCGCAGGCGGCCGUUUAAGUCAGAUGUGAAAUCCCGGGGCUUAACCCCGGAAGUGCAUUUGAUACUGGAUGGCUUGAGUAUGGGAGAGGGAAGUGGAAUUCCUGGUGUAGAGGUGAAAUUCGUAGAUAUCAGGAGGAACACCGGUGGCGAAGGCGACUUCCUGGACCAAUACUGACGCUGAGGCGCGAAGGCGUGGGGAGCAAACAGGAUUAGAUACCCUCGUAGUC
rnacentral:rRNA from 1 species